UACGUAGGUGGCGAGCGUUGUCCGGAUUUACUGGGCGUAAAGCGCGCGUAGGCGGCUUUCUAAGUCCUGUCGUGAAAGGUCGCGGCCCAACUGCGACAGUGCGCGGGAUACUGGGGAGCUUGAGGGCAGCAGAGGCCGGUGGAAUUCCCGGUGGAGUGGUGAAAUGCGUAGAUAUCGGGAGGAACACCCAGGGGGAAACCAGUCGACUGGGCAUCUACUGACGCUGAGGUGCGAGAGCGUGGGGAGCGAACCGG
rnacentral:rRNA from 1 species